ACGGGGUGCAGCAGGCGCGAAAACUUUACAAUGCAGGAAACUGUGAUAAGGAGACACCGAGUGCUCGCAUCAAAUGCGGGCUGUCCACAUACCUAAAUCGUAUGUGUUAGCAAGGGCCGGGCAAGACCGGUGCCAGCCGCCGCGGUAAUACCGGUGGCCCGAGUGGUAGCCGCUUUUAUUGGGUCUAAAGGGUCCGUAGCCGGUUCGGUCAGUCCAUUGGGAAAUCCGGAUGCUCAACAUCCGGGCUUCCAGUGGAUACUGCCGAACUUGGGAUCGGGGGAGGUAAGAGGUACUACAGGGGUAGGAGUGAAAUCUUGUAAUCCUUGUGGGACCACCUGUGGCGAAGGCGUCUUACCAAAACGAGUCCGACGGUGAGGGACGAAAGCUGGGGGCACGAACCGGAUUAGAUACCCGGGUAGUCCCAGCCGUAAACGAUGCUCGCUAGGUGUCAGGCAUGGCGUGACUGUGUCUGGUGCCGAAGGGAAGCCGUGAGGCGAGCCACCUGGGAAGUACGGCCGCAAGGCUGAAACUUAAAGGAAUGGCGGGGGAG
rnacentral:rRNA from 1 species